UAUAUAAUAAGCUAAUUUUAAGCUUUUAGGUUCAUACCCUAACGAUAAAUUUAAAAAAUUUUUAUAUAA
rnacentral:tRNA from 1 species